GGAGCUUGCUUUAUAUAACUUAGCAGCGAACGGGUGAGUAACACGUAGAUAAUCUAUCCUAUACUGGGGGAUAGCCCGAUGAAAGUUGGAUUAAUACCGCAUAUAGCUAUAUAGUUGCAUGAUUGUGUAGUGAAAGAUUUAUUGGUAUAGGAGGAGUCUGCGGCACAUUAGCUAGUAGGUGAGGUAAGGGCUUACCUAGGCGACGAUGUGUAGCCGGUCUGAGAGGAUGAACGGCCACAAUGGAACUGAGACACGGUCCAUACUCCUACGGGAGGCAGCAGUGGGGAAUAUUGCACAAUGGGGGAAACCCUGAUGCAGCAACGCCGCGUGAGUGAAGAAGGUUUUCGGAUUGUAAAGCUCUGUUAGCAGGGAAGAGGAAGGACGGUACCUGCAGAGGAAGCCACGGCUAACUACGUGCCAGCAGCCGCGGUAAUACGUAGGUGGCAAGCGUUGUUCGGAAUAACUGGGCGUAAAGGGUGCGUAGGCGGUUAAACAAGUUAUAUGUUAAAUAUAUAGGCUUAACCUGUAGAAAGCAUAUAAAACUGUUUAACUAGAGUGCAGGAGAGGUAAGUGGAAUUCCUAGUGUAGCGGUGAAAUGCGUAGAGAUUAGGAAGAACACCAGUGGCGAAGGCGACUUACUGGACUGUAACUGACGCUGAGGCAUGAGAGCAUGGGGAGCAAACAGGAUUAGAUACCCUGGUAGUCCAUGCUGUAAACGAUGGGUACUAGGUGUGGGUUGUGAAUAACAAUUCGUGCCG
rnacentral:rRNA from 1 species